rnacentral:sRNA from 1 species
AUCGCUGCCAACCUAUCUAUCGCUGCCAAUUUAUCUACCACUGCCAAUCUAUCUAUUGCUGCUAAUCUAUUGCUGCUGCCAAUCUAUCUAUCGCUGCUAAUCUAUUGCUGCUGCUAAUCUAUCUAUCGCUGCUAAUCUAUCGCUGCUAAUCUAUCGCUGCUAAUCUAUCGCCGCUGCCAAUCUAUCCCUCACUGCUAAGCUAUCCCUUGCUGCUAAGCUAUCACUGCCAAUCUAUCGCUGCUAAUCUAUCGCUGCCAACCUAUCUACCGCGGCGAAUCUAUCUAUCGCUGCCAAUUUAUCUACCACUGCCAAUUUAUCUACCACUGCCAAUCUAUCUACCACUGCCAAUCUAUCUAUUGCUGCUAAUCUAUUGCUGCUGCCAAUCUAUCUAUCGCUGCUAAUCUAUUGCUGCUGCUAAUCUAUCUAUCGCUGCUAAUCUAUCGCUGCUAAUCUAUCGCUGCUAAUCUAUCGCUGCUAAUCUAUCGCUGCUAAUCUAUCGCUGCUAAUCUAUCGCUGCCAACCUAUCUACCGCGGCGAAUCUAUCUAUCACUAUCAUUACUAGUUCAAAAUAGAACUAGAGCAUAAAUACACUAAACUUCUUUUGAUAGGUAAUGAUUUUUGGUAACGCUCAUAGCAUUAUAUCAUCUAUAUAGGGUAAAUCAUGGUCCCAUUUGGUCCCAUUUUAACAAAAUGGGACCAAAUGGGACCAGAAUCAGUAAUUUAUAAGAAGAACAUGACCUGGGACU